AGAGUUUGAUCAUGGCUCAGGAUGAACGCUGGCGGCGUGCCUAACACAUGCAAGUCGAACGANAAGCCUGUUUUCGGAUAGGUGGAGAGUGGCGCACGGGUGAGUAACACAUGGCUAACCUACCCUUCAGAGGGGGACAACCACUGGAAACGGUGGCUAAUACCCCAUACGCUCGCGAGGAAUAGCAUCUCGUGAGGAAAGGUUUCGGCGCUGAAGGAGGGGGCUGUGGCCCAUCANCUAGUUGGUAGGGUAAAAGCCUACCAAGGCGAAGACGGGUAGGGGGCCUGAGAGGGUGACCCCCCACACGGGCACUGANACACGGGCCCGACUCCUACGGGAGGCAGCAGUGAGGAAUAUUGCCCAAUGGACGCAAGUCUGAGGCANCAACGCCGCGUGCGGGAUGAAGGCCUUCNGGUCGUAAACCGCUUUUCUGUGCGAAGAGGAAGGACGGUANCACAGGAAUAAGUCUCGGCUAACUACNUGCCANCANCCGCGGUAAAACGUAGGAGGCAAGCGUUAUCCGGAUUUACUGGGUGUAAAGCGCGUGCAGGCGGUUUCGUAAGUUGUGCGUGAAAGCGCCCGGCUCAACCGGGCGAGGCCGNGNNNAACUGCNGAACUANGGGCANGUANAGGCGUGUGGAAUUCCNGGUGUAGUGGUGAAAUGCGUAGAGAUCCNNANGGAACACCAGUGGCGAAGGCGACACGCUGGGCCUGAACUGACGCUAAGACGCGAAAGCAUGGGGAGCAAACGGGAUUAGAAACCCCGGUAGUCCAUNCCGUAAACGAUGUGUACUAGGUGUUGCGUGUGUCAAAGCAGGCAGUGCCGCAGCUAACGUGAUAAGUACNCCACCUGGGGACUACGNCCGCAAGGUUAAAACUCAAAGGAAUUGACGGGGGCCCGCACAAGCAGCGGAGCGUGUGGUUUAAUUCGAGGCUACACGAAGAACCUUACCUGGGCUUGACAUGGCGGUGGUAGGGAACCGAAAGGGGACCGNCCUUCGGGAGCCGUCACAGGUGCUGCAUGGCUGUCGUCAGCUCGUGUCGUGAGAUGUUCGGUUAAGUCCGGUAACGAGCGCAACCCUCGCCGUUAGUUACAAGUGUCUAGCGGGACUGCCCGUUGAACGCGGGAGGAAGGUGGGGAUGACGUCAAGUCAGCAUGGCCUUUAUGUNCAGGGCUNCACACACGCUACAAUGGCCGGUACAAUGGGUCGCCAACCCGCGAGGGGGAGCCAAUCCAUCAAANCCGGUCUCAGUUCGGAUUGCAGGCUGCAACUCGCCUGCAUGAAGUCGGAGUUGCUAGUAACCGCAGGUCAGCUAUACUGCGGUGAAUACGUUCCCGGGCCUUGUACACACCGCCCGUCACGUCAUGGGAGCUGGUCAUGCCUGAAGUCGUUGGGUUAACCGUAAGGAGACAGACGCCUAAGGCAGGGCUGGUGACUGGGACGAAGUCGUAACAAGGUAAC
rnacentral:rRNA from 1 species